rnacentral:lncRNA from 1 species
CUGACUUAAUCAUAUAAACUCUUUAAAUCUGGGUGUAGAGGUUAGCGACAGAGAAAUCAGAUACUAGAUGCAUCCUUUCUGACUUGAAGAUGAAGGCAAUUUUGUGACAAGUGAUGCUGGUGGCAUGUAAGACCUGUAAGCAGGCCCCAGCUGACAGUCCGUUAGAAAGGAAACAGGGGCUGCAGUUCUCCAACUGCAAAACACGGAAUUUUGCUUGAAAUUUAACUUGGAAGCAGACUUUCUCCCAGAGCUUCUAGAUGAAAACUCAGCCUGGCCAACCCCUUGGUGUCAGCUUUGUGUUACCCUGAGCAGGUACCCAAGACAUAUGGUUCUGGACUGUGGACCCACGGAAAGGGUGAGCAUCCACAUCUACCACCCGUGACCAGACUUCUCCACCUGUUGGCGAGCUUAAGUUAAAGUUAUCAAUAUAUGCCCCAAAACAGCAAUCACCUGGAUGAGAAGCAGAUGACAUCUAAUGUAGACUGUGAAUCCCAAGACACAGACCAGAAUUUAUUUUCGGGUCUUCCUCACCAACCCUGGCCUAUGCCCAGCACCUGGAAUUUGACUUCUCUCAGACCAUCACAUGGGAGGAGCUGUUGGGGUGUUAGUCUUGUCUCCUCGUAUGGAAUGUGUGGUUCCCGGAGAACAGACUACCUCUCAUCAUCCAAAGUUGAAGUGGACAAGAAAGUCAAGUAAAGUUCAAGAAAGAUCCUAUUUGACUGCUAUUGUCAACCUGGUUUGGCAUUGGAGUGUUGUUGGGAUUCAUUUCAUAGAUUCAUGAGAAAAUAACCUCUCCAUCACAGGAGAGCGCACUCACUGUGCCAUUCAUAUGGGUGAAUGCUUUUCCCUGGCCUGGUCAUAUGGGUUUCUUUAGAUAUGAGGUACUUCCCUUCCAUCUUUUAUCUCCUGCAGUUUCCUCAUUGCUUUUGACAAUCUCGAACCUAACGUGAGGUAAUUGUAGGCCAUUUCUUAAUCAUGUAGCACACAGCAAUCCCUAUGCCCUUGCUUAUGAGAGAGUAUGGAACUCACAGUAACUUGAUAGUUUGCCCAAAAAAUCAUCAUUUGAUCUCCUACUCAAGUGCUCUGUAUUCUCCAUGUAUCCUUCUUUGCAGGUGGUCAGUUUGGAUUAUGGGGGAAAUUAUCUAUUGUUUUGAGAUGAAGUCUAAGGUUGAAAUAUACCAGUUAGGGAUUCUUUGGGUUACAAAACAGACUACUUACCAUUGUAGUUAUUAAAAGCAUUUAACUGUUUUACAUAGUUAGAGAUCAGAGAUAGGAAAUGUCAUACGUGACACAGUGCCAUGUUAUUAAGAACCUAGUUCUCUUAAUUGUUUCGCUCUACUGUAUAUGUUGCUUUUGUUUUACCUUUUGGAUUGCCCAUCUCAAGGAUAAGCAACAUAUCUUCAGAAAAUAAGCAGGAAGAUGAGGUAAAAAGGCUUGGAAAUUGAAUAUUUUUAUGUACCUGCUGCUGUUGCUAGGAAACUGAAUAUACCCCAGAAACCAUUUUUUUGUCCCAUGAGACUUCCUCUUGGGACUCAACGACAAUAACUAUGCUAUAUGACCACUUUAUCAGACAAUGAAUGGAUAUUCUAAACUUUUGAGAGGGAGCUAAAGUCUAUGCCUAUAGAAUAGUGAGUUUUGUAGUGAAUACUAAAGAAUGAAAAUAUGAAGGAAGAGUAAUUUCAGUGAACAAUUAUCUCUCAUCAUUAAAUUAUUUAAAAGGUAUAAAAUAUAAUUUUUCAAAAUGUGUGAUAUAUGGAUUAGAUAGACCGUGCACUCCAUAAGGAAGAGUUCCCAAAUAAGAUCAGGACAAAGAAAUUACAUGUUCCUAUUUUUAAGAUACUAUAAAAAGCUAAGACCAGAAUUCAUUAUUCAUGGAUUUUUACAUAUUCAAAACACUGUCAUUGUUUCGUGAUGAAUAGAGUAACAGUUAUACCAUCAAGGACAGAUAGAAAAUGCCUUUUCUCCAAAUUAGCUUUUAUCAAGUUGACUAUAGCUCCAAGACAUACAUUAGUUUAGGAGGAGAUGAUUUAUAUGGAUUCCAAUAAUAGUCUCACUGUCCUGGAUACCAAUCAAUAGAGACUUCUUAUAUUAUUCACUUGACUUUGUCAUUUAUGCUGACAUACAGACAAAGAUCAUUG